rnacentral:rRNA from 1 species
CGGUGAAUACGUUCCCGGACCUUGUACACACCGCCCGUCAAGCCAUGGAAGCUGGGUGUACCUAAAGUCGAUAACCGCUAAGGAGUCGCCUAGGGUAAAACUGGUAACUGGGGCU